rnacentral:piRNA from 1 species
AAAUAAAUAAAUAAAUAAAUAAAAAGGUUAGC